rnacentral:lncRNA from 1 species
GACAGAGGGAAGCCACCAAACCAAAGCAGGGCUUAGCCUAGACUUUUUGCAAAGUGGGGCUUGAGUGUCUGACCAUAGGCUGGCAUGGCUACCUCCAUCAUUGUUUCUUCUGCAGCUGAAUAGGCUGGCAGGCAGCCUGAAAUGGGGACCUGCUCAGAAGACCCCCACCCCUGCUGGGCAUCCCGGCUCCUCGGACUCAUCAGUCUCUUUCUCAAGCCUAUACCCAGUCCUGAGAUUCUGGCUGGGCCACGAUCCAUCACACCAGGCUGGUGCAAUGUCACCCUGGAGUGUGGGCCCAGAGGAGCCACAAAGGACCUGAAUGUGACCUGGAAGAGGGAGUACGCCUCUGAGAAGGUGGAGCAGACAGGGACACUGGGACCUGCCUCAAACUCCCACACCCUGGCUGUGAGGCUGCCCCUGAGGCAGCCCUACUCCAGUAUCACCUGCGUGGUCAGCAACCAGAUGGACCAGAAAACUGCUACCGUAGGUCUUGGGGAAGUCUGUGCCCAUGGUUCUCAAGGACUGCCCAUUGCUGGCUCCCUAGGAGCCAUUGUGGUUCUGCUGCUGAUCCUGGGAUCUGGACUGUGUUUUUGGAAGAAAUGUGGAAAGAAGAAGAUAGAGAUGAGAAGAGGUGCAGGAUCACCAGAGGACCAAAAAGAUGAUGACAGCAUCCAGUAUGUGGAGCUGAACCAGCAGGAAUCUCAAGAGGGCUUGUACAUGGGUGUCAGUGAACAACAUUCAGGGCCUCUCACUACUAUCUACAGUGAAGUCUGUAAGCCAGGCCAUGCUAUGAAGAUAAUUUAA